rnacentral:rRNA from 1 species
CUCCCUUAGGUCAGCGGCGGACGGGUGAGUAACACGUGGGUAACCUGCCUGUAAGACUGGGAUAACUCCGGGAAACCGGGGCUAAUACCGGAUGCUUGAUUGAACCGCAUGGUUCAAUUAUAAAAGGUGGCUUUUAGCUACCACUUACAGAUGGACCCGCGGCGCAUUAGCUAGUUGGUGAGGUAACGGCUCACCAAGGCGACGAUGCGUAGCCGACCUGAGAGGGUGAUCGGCCACACUGGGACUGAGACACGGCCCAGACUCCUACGGGAGGCAGCAGUAGGGAAUCUUCCGCAAUGGACGAAAGUCUGACGGAGCAACGCCGCGUGAGUGAUGAAGGUUUUCGGAUCGUAAAACUCUGUUGUUAGGGAAGAACAAGUACCGUUCGAAUAGGGCGGCACCUUGACGGUACCUAACCAGAAAGCCACGGCUAACUACGUGCCAGCAGCCGCGGUAAUACGUAGGUGGCAAGCGUUGUCCGGAAUUAUUGGGCGUAAAGCGCGCGCAGGCGGUUUCUUAAGUCUGAUGUGAAAGCCCCCGGCUCAACCGGGGAGGGUCAUUGGAAACUGGGGAACUUGAGUGCANAAGAAGAAAGUGGAAUUCCACGUGUAGCGGUGAAAUGCGUAGAGAUGUGGAGGAACACCAGUGGCGAAGGCGACUCUCUGGUCUGUAACUGACGCUGAGGCGCGAAAGCGUGGGGAGCGAACAGGAUUAGAUACCCUGGUAGUCCACGCCGUAAACGAUGAGUGCUAAGUGUUAGAGGGUUUCCGCCCUUUAGUGCUGCAGCAAACGCAUUAAGCACUCCGCCUGGGGA